UGGCUACAGAACGAACGCUGGCGGCAUGCCUAACACAUGCAAGUCGAACGAGACCUUCGGGUCUAGUGGCGCACGGGUGCGUAACGCGUGGGAACCUGCCUUUAGGUUCGGAAUAACUCAGAGAAAUUUGAGCUAAUACCGGAUAAUGUCUUCGGACCAAAGAUUUAUCGCCUUUAGAUGGGCCCGCGUUGGAUUAGCUAGUUGGUGGGGUAAAGGCCUACCAAGGCGACGAUCCAUAGCUGGUCUGAGAGGAUGAUCAGCCACACUGGGACUGAGACACGGCCCAGACUCCUACGGGAGGCAGCAGUGGGGAAUAUUGGACAAUGGGCGAAAGCCUGAUCCAGCAAUGCCGCGUGAGUGAUGAAGGCCUUCGGGUCGUAAAGCUCUUUUACCAGGGAUGAUAAUGACAGUACCUGGAGAAUAAGCUCCGGCUAACUCCGUG
rnacentral:rRNA from 1 species